GGUAGUCGCUGCUUUGUUGAUGUCCUUCGGGAGACUGACGUCGAAGUCCCUUUGGGAGACUGACGUUGACGUCCUUCGGGAGACUGACAAAGGGGAGGAAAGUCCGGGCUUCAUAGAGCAAGGUGCCAGGUAACGCCUGGGGGGCGCAAGCCUACGACAAGUGCAGCAGAGAGAAGACCGCCGAUGGCCCUAGGGCACAGGUAAGGGUGAAAGGGUGCGGUAAGAGCGCACCGGACGACUAGUAAUAGUUCGUAGCAGGGUAAACUCCACCUGAAGCAAGACCAAAUAGGCCUCCACAUUGCGUUGCUCGCGUAAGGAGGCGGGUAGGUUGCUCGAGCCAGUGAGUGAUUGCUGGCCUAGACGAAUGGCUACCGCCNAGAGAAGACCGCCGAUGGCCCUAGGGCACAG
rnacentral:RNase_P_RNA from 1 species